rnacentral:rRNA from 1 species
AUUGAACGCUGGCGGCGUGCUUAACACAUGCAAGUCGAACGAGAACGGAUUAUAGCUUGCUAUAAUUGUCAGCUAAGUGGCGCACGGGUGAGUAAUGUAUAGGUAAUAUGCCUCUUACUAAGGGAUAACAAAUGGAAACGUUUGCUAAUACCUUAUACUCCUUAUUAACAGAAGUUAAUAAGGGAAAGAUUUAUUGGUAAGAGAUUAGCCUGUAUUGUAUCAGUUAGUUGGUGGGGUAAUGGCUUACCAAGACUAUGACACAUAACUGGUUUGAGAGGAUGAUCAGUCACACUGGAACUGAGACACGGUCCAGACUCCUACGGGAGGCAGCAGUGGGGAAUAUUGCACAAUGGACGGAAGUCUGAUGCAGCAACGCCGCGUGGAGGAUGACACAUUUCGGUGCGUAAACUCCUUUUAUAUGAGAAGAUAAUGACGGUAUUAUAUGAAUAAGCACCGGCUAACUCCGUGCCAGCAGCCGCGGUAA